rnacentral:rRNA from 1 species
AUUGAACGCUGGCGGCAGGCUUAACACAUGCAAGUCGAGCGGUAACAGAGAGAAGCUUGCUUCUCUGCUGACGAGCGGCGGACGGGUGAGUAAUGCCUAGGAAUCUGCCUAGUAGUGGGGGAUAACUUGCCGAAAGGUAAGCUAAUACCGCAUCCGUCAUAUGGGAGAAAGGAGGGGACCUUCGGGCAUUUCGCUAUUAGAUGAGCCUAGGUCGGAUUAGUUAGUUGGUGAGGUAAUGGCUCACCAAGACCGCGAUCCGUAACUGGUCUGAGAGGAUGAGCAGGCACACGGGAACUGAGACACGGUACAGACUCCUACGGGAGGCAGCAGUGGGGAAUAUUGGACAAUGGGGUGAACCCUGAUCCAGCCAUGCCGCGUGUGUGAAGAAGGUCUUAGGAUUGUAAGGCACUUUAAGUUGGGAGGAAGAGCAGUUAACUAAUAUUUGACUGUUUUGACGUUACCGACAGAAUAAGCACCGGCUAACUUCGUGCCAGCAGCCGCCGUAA